rnacentral:rRNA from 1 species
AGUGAACGCUGGCGGUAGGCCUAACACAUGCAAGUCGAACGGCAGCACAGUAAGAGCUUGCUCUUACGGGUGGCGAGUGGCGGACGGGUGAGGAAUACAUCGGAAUCUACUUUUUCGUGGGGGAUAACGUAGGGAAACUUACGCUAAUACCGCAUACGACCUACGGGUGAAAGCAGGGGAUCUUCGGACCUUGCGCGAUUGAAUGAGCCGAUGUCGGAUUAGCUAGUUGGCGGGGUAAAGGCCCACCAAGGCGACGAUCCGUAGCUGGUCUGAGAGGAUGAUCAGCCACACUGGAACUGAGACACGGUCCAGACUCCUACGGGAGGCAGCAGUGGGGAAUAUUGGACAAUGGGCGCAAGCCUAAUCCAGCCAUACCGCGUGGGUGAAGAAGGCCUUCGGGUUGUAAAGCCCUUUUGUUGGGAAAGAAAAGCAGCAGGUUAAUACCCCGCUGUUCUGACGGUACCCAAAGAAUAAGCACCGGCUAACUUCGUGC